UACGGAGGGUGCGAGCGUUGUCCGGAAUCACUGGGCGUAAAGGGCGCGUAGGCGGCCGUGUAAGUCACUUGUGAAAUCCCGGGGCUCAACUCCGGGGCUGCAGGUGAGACUGCGUGGCUAGAGCUUGGUAGAGGCGAGUGGAAUUCCCGGUGUAGCGGUGGAAUGCGUAGAUAUCAGGAGGAACACCAAUGGCGAAGGCAGCUCGCUGGGACGUGACUGACGCUGAGACGCGAAGGCCAGGGAGCGAAACGGG
rnacentral:rRNA from 1 species